UACGUAGGGUGCGAGCGUUAAUCGGAAUUACUGGGCGUAAAGCGUGCGCAGGCGGCUUUGCAAGACAGAUGUGAAAUCCCCGGGCUUAACCUGGGAACCGCAUUUGUGACUGCAUAGCUGGAGUACGGCAGAGGGGGGAUGGAAUUCCGCGUGUAGCAGUGAAAUGCGUAGAUAUGCGGAGGAACACCGAUGGCGAAGGCAGUCCCCUGGGCCUGUACUGACGCUCGAUGCACGAAAGCGUGGGGAGCAAACAG
rnacentral:rRNA from 1 species